AAAUUUUAUAAUUACAAUAGGGAAUAAAUUAACUAAUAUUAAGAACCGUGAACAAAUUGUAAUAUAUAUAAAUAUAUAUAUUAGCUAGGCUUUGACAUUGACAGAUAAAUUAGUUAGAUUUUAUAAAAUAUUUAUUUUAAUUUAUUUAAUAACGACUUGUUUCUCCUUUAUAUUUGUAGUGUUUCACCCAUUUAAUUAUGAGAAAUUUGAAAAAGUUUUGAAUUCUUUGGUAUGAGACAAGUUCAGGAAUUGAUGGAAAGAUUUUUGUAUUAGGUUUCUUUAUUUUUCCAUUGGAUUUUGUGAGAUCAUGCAGAGAAAUUCUCGUCGAAAUUUUGGGCAUGUCAAGUCCAAAAUUACCGACAAAUUUUAAUAUACAAAAUGGAAAUGAUGGAGUUUGCUACUCGAAUUUGACAGUUAUUUUUUGAGAUUUAACUCUAAUUAUUUUAUGAUUUCAAAGACAGAGAGAAUGCUAACGUCCACGUAAUUAGAAUUCCAUGUGUUUGGUUUGUUUAGGAGAAUUCCAAGUAGGUCUGUCCAUUGCUAGAAAGAACUGAGUAAGUGUAAGAUUUAAUUUGUUUGUCUUAAAUCUUAAUUUAAAGAUCUGAAGCGAUUGGUUUCAAAUUAAUGAUUAUGCAGUUAUACACGGCAAGAUGAACAAAUUAUUUGGCGAUAUACGUAAGGAAUUCAAAAGAAUAAUCAUUUGUGGACGAUCAUUCGUUUGAAUUUUUCAAACAGAAAUAGAGAAUUUCCUUUUCCUCCAAAAAUCGGCAUACAUUUAUGACCAAUUUUGGAGAGAACAUGAAUAUUUGUAUGUUCAGAUAUAGUUAAUUCCCUUUUGUAUUCUGUCGUUUAACAUGUACCGAUCCUCCUGUGCAGAUAAACAAAGUAGCGUUGAUAUCCAUUCACAUCUACAUUCACAAACGUUGCACCAAAAUCACAUUUUACUUAUUGGUAUUCUUGUUACGUAUGGUCAUCAAAUCUCUGUUUAGUUCUUUACAAGACCAUUUUUGAAUUAAAAAUAAUUAUUGGUGUUAAAUCUGUAAUCAUGGCACCCAUUCGUAUGCAAUUUUUGUCCAUCUUGUAAACAUAAUUGCAGAUACUUUCAUCCACCGUGCUUCGGUAGUAGUGAGGACACCUACAGUUUGACCGAAAUGCUAGUCUAUCGUGCCUCCAAUUCUUGUUUUACUUCAUAAAUAAUUUCAUGUCACCCAAGAAUGUAUCCACCACUGUAACAGAAUAAAGAUAAACAAUAACAGGAAUACAAAGCUGUAAUUUUGACAUUGAAUAUAAAUUACAUACCUGUUAAUUUGCUUUUCCUGCAACAAUUGUUACGCUACUAGAAACUUUCUAGUCACUGCAAGUAACGCAAUGAUCAAGUUCUAGAAUUUGCAAUUCCACAUCUUAGUAGCGUAGCAUAGCAUAGCAUGACUCAAAUUUACAAAUGUAGUUGCAUUACAAUCAGUUUAUCGUUUGUAGCCACAUUUAUUCUUCAUGACGAUUUGCAUUACGAGACAAUCCGUUCCUUAAAUUAAUUAUUGGCCGCCCGCGAAACACUUUUCUUAUUGUUCCUCUGUGUCUCUGUGAUUUGCACCUCAAUAAUUUGUCGCAAUACUAAGUAAAUUAUUUUGGCAAAGGGACCAAGUCACCUUAUUAAUUGUUUACAAAUUUGUUUCUUGUAUGCGACAGCAGUUUUCAGUAGAAUUAUCAUUAAUAAGUGAGCCCGCAUCAUUAGUUCAUCUUGCUGUGUAUGCUUUGACAGCUUUUUUCAUUUUCAAAAUUAAUUUUCCAGAAAGCAUCACCACUAAAUGACGCAAUUGUGAUAACAGCAAAAAAAUUACACUUUUUGUUUUUACUUUGUAAAAUAAAACAGAACAUCAAAACUUCAUUGCUCAAAAUUUUGUCACUUUAAAGAAUUUGUAUUCAAAGUCUUUUGUAAUCUGAGAGUCUUUGACAGAAUUUCCAUUUUGAAACACUGCGGAGGGGAUUUGUUUUGUAAAUUUUCGAUCGGCACAAACCGACGAAGAUUCCUAUUUAAGUGAUGCCAGAGACAUUAAAGCAUCGAGUGCCAUAAUUCUAUUCUUUAAUACCGCAGUGCUCUGUUUUCCAUUGUUACUUUGGAAUGUUUGGCGAAUUUAAGCAUGCAGAGACGUCCUCGCGCACAUUAUUUAUCCCGGUGCCACGGGGUUCUACUUUACUCCACCUCGUUCAUCACAGAAAAAGCAAUUUAUCUUCACUUACUUCAAGGAUAACACAUCUAGCCAAGCCACAUUCCUCUCUCGACUCUCGCAUCCUAUAUUAGACAUUUGAAGAGCUGCUAUUUAUUAUAAAUAUAUUUAUUUAUUUUUUUGUUUAAAAAUAAUAAGCCAAAUUUUAAGAAUUAAUCCAAAUAACCACAGCUUUACUCGAUAGAAUUGGUCUGUUGUUAUAUUUUAAUAGUUUAAGUAUUAUUUAUUUGUAUUUAUAGAUGGAUUGAAAGAAUUUUUCGUUUGAAUCGUUCUUUCCGAACUUCUGUAUAUUUAUGUAAAGAGAUAUAACAUCUAUUUUUGAUUAUUUUCGAAUUUUUCCCAUAUAUUUGUAUACAUAAGAACCGUGUGUACGGAUAUGCAUCAUAUAAAUGAAUAAAAUAAAAGAUAUAUAUUAUAUAUUUAUGCCGACAUACGUCGUCCAAAAUGAAUUUUGUAUUGAGAACCAAAACGAGAAGAUUUUGCUUUCUCCGAAUAAACUCUUGAUUUAUCAUGCUA